UACGUAGGGUGCAAGCGUUGUCCGGAAUUAUUGGGCGUAAAGAGCUCGUAGGCGGUUUGUCGCGUCGGGGAGUGAAAACCCAGGGCUUAACCCUGGGCUGGCUUCCGAUACGGGCAGACUAGAGGUAUGCAGGGGAGAAUGGAAUUCCUGGUGUAGCGGUGAAAUGCGCAGAUAUCAGGAGGAACACCGGUGGCGAAGGCGGUUCUCUGGGCAUUACCUGACGCUGAGGAGCGAAAGUGUGGGGAGCGAACAGGAUUAGAGUACCCGUGGUAAGUC
rnacentral:rRNA from 1 species